UUGUCAAAAGCGGCUAACUGCUCUCCGUCUGUAGGGGGCUGCUGCUCUGCUGCCGCGUGCUGGUGCGGAGAGGAAUCUGCGCCGUUUUUACUCGUUGUAUCUCCCAUUGUGUCUAAUUGUAUGUUUUUUGUAAUGAAGAAGGAAAAAACGAGCAAAAGAAAGCAGUUUUAUAGCUGUACUAAUGUGUGGGGCGAGGCGGCGCCGACGCGUGAGCCCAGUCGGCAAGUUCUAACAUUGAAAAUCAACGUGAAAUUGCCUUCUGGGGGGUUCAGAUGACGAAAUUAUGGUAAAAUACCAUAAAAACAAAAUUUUAAGGUAGCCAAAUGCCUCGUCAUCCAAUUAAGGUAGCCAAAUGCCUCGUCAUCUAAUUAGUGACGUGCAUGAAUGGAUUAACGAGAUUCCCACUGU
rnacentral:ncRNA from 1 species